UCUGUUUUUUUCAUGUUUUUUAGACAAAAUCAGGUAUGAAAUACAACUUAAGUUGUUUGUGUUUGUGCUAUUUGUGUUUCGUGAUGAUUUUAAGUUAUUGUUGUGCUGUUUUUUUGUUUCGGGAUGAUUUUAAGUUAUUGCAUUCCUACUGUUUGAUAAAAGCUCGAAGAGAGUUUGUUAUCACUUUUGAAUUGCAUUUACAGCAGUAGAGGCCAAUGAAUGUUGAAGGAAUGAUGAAAGUUGUGGAUGAGAGCAGGAGAGGGCUUGGGCUGUAAACAGAAGGGGUCCUAAACACAGUCAAGUCGAGCUUUCCCUAAAACUUCGAAGCUUCCAAAGAUGCCAUUCAAUUUGAUGAACGAUUAUCAUUAGGUGACAAGAACUCUGCAGAAACAGUUGAUAAUAUUCUCACAUCAAUUCCUUUUGCGGUUCUCGGAUACAAAGCCCCCAGUAUUACGCUGAUCCUAUUGAUGGAUACAUAUUUCUCUCCUUGAAUGAUUGUAACCGCUAUCUUAAAUCUGGAGUAUUAGGAAAGUCUUCAUACAAGCCCAAGGACGAAGAUCAUGUUGAUAUGGAGCUGGAAAGUGAUAAUAUAUCUUGGCUUCCUUUUUGUACCCUAUAUUCUGGAUUCUUUGGGAAAUAUUAUACGCUCCCCUUCGCCUUUUUCUCGGGAUAUGCAAUCUUAUUGUGUUCAUAUAUAGCAAAGUAUAUGCUAUUAUUGGAGAUAUAUGGUUCUUUAUCUGUAGCAUCUUCCAGUUAGCUUCAACUGCAGAUGCUACGGUGAACGCAGAGGUUUCCUUGUGGCGCACUUUAUGGAAUCACCUUUUUUCUCAGGUCUCUCGAGCUGUUCAGAGCAUCUUAAACGAUUUUGUUGCAUUCUUCACAGCCUGCAAUCGUAACCAACUAAGUUUAUAGGGCAUGGACUGGCAGGAAUUCAAGGACCAAUGUACUGGCCUACUGGAACAAAUUGUUUCCAUACAAGAAAAGUUAUAUACAAGCUUUCACCUGAUCAUAAUAUUACACACUGGUAUGUAAAAGUUUUAUGUUUAUGUUUUUACGAGCCCUACUGUCAUUAUUUGUUAUAUUCCUUUGCUAGGAAAUACAAUAAUAAAAAGCUGGGUUUCAACUACGUUCCGAAUGUUUGUUAUCAAGUAGAAUAUUUGGUGUAUUUUCCUUUUGGUUUUGAAUAUUUUAGUUUAAUAUAAGAGUAGGCUUUGAACUUUUUAUUGUAAAGCAGGGGUUUUGAAUAUUUUUGUUUAUAUAAAGCAGGGGAUUUGAACUUUUUAUUGUAAAGCAGGGGUUUUGGUCAAGUUAAUAGUUUUGUUUUUGUAAAUUGUAGCAGAACUUCCUGGUUUCUUUAAUAAAAUAACAUAGUAAUAUAACUCAAGCCAGUAGUUUAUAGAGUGACAUUUUUUUUUUUGCUUUCUGUGUCUUUAUGUCAUUGAACCGGUUUUGGACAAUCAUGGUCAUCUGCUAUCUUUGGAGUUGUGUUGAAAUUGAUGAAGAGGCUUUAUUGAUGUUAAUGUGGAUGUAAUAGUUUUUUUUUUUUGACAAAAUGUGGAUGUAAUAGUUGUAGUAGUACAUAUAUGAAUAUUUAAUUGCUUUUACUGUAAUUACGCCCCCACAAAUCCCUCCGUAGUUAUUGCACAUACAUGUUCAUUGAGCUGCAUAUAUAGAUGUUAAUCAGUUCCAAAACUGUAAUUAGAAUCAACAUAGUGGGUGCUCCUUUUGAUCGGCUAAGCCGGCGCACUUUAUCGCCCUUUGAGUCUCAGCAUCUAUCCAUCUGCACGAUAUGGUAAUGCUUCUCCUGUUAUAGGCACAAAGUAAACUAUUUCAUCUGUUUGAAGGAAAGAGAAAUAAAGAUUCCUGCUCAUACAAAGUCUGACUCCAGGCCUCUCCCGGAUUAUGCUCCUACAACCGGAUACAAUCUUGUGUUUACCGACCAGUAUCAGUUUCUAAUGCUUUCCCAUGUUAUUUAAACAUUUAUGAUUUAUAUAAUCUUUGUAUAUAAGUGCAGAACUGGUGCCUAAUAUGAGUAUGUAUCAUAUGCAGGGAUCUUUAGAUGAACUUAAUAGCCAGCUGGAGGAGCCUUUACCUGUUAAUCAUUUCCGCCCCAGUAUAAAAAAACACUUGAUUUUUACAACAUAUUUAUUGAUGGGGGUGAACGAUUUGCUGAGGACCUCAACAACAUAACUUUCAUAAGCAUUCAGUUAUGCCCUCGAUGCAAGGUACCCUUACUUAACCAAGAGAAUGGAAUUCCUGGGCCAGAGCCGAAUGAAACACUGAUGAAGUUUCAAUCUGAUAAAAUCUUGCAACUGAGUACGAGGCACCAUGGAAAGGUCUACUUCGGACAAGGUCUCUGCAACAAGGACUCAUUUGAUGAAUUUGGAGGGAUGAUACUUCAAGUGGGAGAUACCAUCCAUGAGGAGAAGGUGUUUUCUUCAUAUGCUGAAGCCAUAGCUUGAAUGUAUUAACAUUCAAUGCAGUCACAGUUCAUAUGAAGAAUAGAAUAAGCUGAGUGCACCAAUAGAUUAAAAAAAAAACUCUAAAGAUGAUUGUUAUUAUGUGAUUUAUCAAUCAAUUUCACAAGGCACAACUUUCUUGAUAAAAGAAAUAUAAAAAAAUCAAGCCACAACUUCAUAAUGUUAUUUUGGCUUUAAAUUUUCAAUAGUGAAUCGUCCAUGCCAGUCAGUUCACUGUUGCUGAUAUUUCAA